rnacentral:snRNA from 1 species
UAUGUAGGAUAGAUUUAG